rnacentral:rRNA from 1 species
UACGUAGGGGGCGAGCGUUGUCCGGAUUUAUUGGGCGUAAAGAGCUCGUAGGCGGUUCGAUAAGUCGGACGUGAAAUCUCCACGCUCAACGUGGAGGGGCCGUUCGAUACUGUCGUGACUCGAGUCCGGUAGGGGAGUGUGGAAUUCCCGGUGUAGCGGUGAAAUGCGCAGAGAUCGGGAGGAACACCCGUAGCGAAGGCGGCACUCUGGGCCGGUACUGGACGCUGAGGAGCGAAAGCGUGGGGAGCAAAGCAGGG